UGGAUCCAGACUUGAUUAUGGCUCAGGACGAACGCUGGCGGCGCGCCUAACACAUGCAAGUCGAACGGAGAUUACAGGCGGAAGUUUUCGGAUGGAAGCUUGUAAACUUAGUGGCGGACGGGUGAGUAACACGUGAGCAACCUGCCUAUCAGAGGGGGAUAACGAUUGGAAACGAUCGCUAAUACCGCAUGACAUAGCGGAACCGCAUGGUUCUGUUAUCAAAGAUUUUAUCGCUGAUAGAUGGGCUCGCGUCCGACUAGAUAGUUGGUGGGGUAACGGCCUACCAAGUCGACGAUCGGUAGCCGGACUGAGAGGUCGAACGGCCACAUUGGGACUGAGACACGGCCCAGACUCCUACGGGAGGCAGCAGUGGGGGAUAUUGCACAAUGGGGGAAACCCUGAUGCAGCGACGCCGCGUGAGGGAAGACGGUCCUCUGGAUUGUAAACCUCUGUCUUCGGGGACGAAACGAGACGGUACCCGAGGAGGAAGCCACGGCUAACUACGUGCCAGCAGCCGCGGUAAUACGUAGGUGGCAAGCGUUGUCCGGAAUUACUGGGUGUAAAGGGAGCGUAGGCGGGCAGGCAAGUCAGGCGUGAAAUAUAUCGGCUCAACCGGUAACGGCGCUUGAAACUGCAGGUCUUGAGUGAAGUAGAGGUUGGCGGAAUUCCUAGUGUAGCGGUGAAAUGCGUAGAUAUUAGGAGGAACACCAGUGGCGAAGGCGGCCAACUGGGCUUUUACUGACGCUGAGGCUCGAAAGUGUGGGGAGCAAACAGGAUUAGAUACCCUGGUAGUCCACACCGUAAACGAUGAUUACUAGGUGUGGGGGGACUGACCCCUUCCGUGCCGGAGUUAACACAAUAAGUAAUCCACCUGGGGAGUACGGCCGCAAGGUUGCAACUCAAAGGAAUUGACGGA
rnacentral:rRNA from 1 species